UACGUAGGUGGCAAGCGUUGUCCGGAUUUAUUGGGUUUAAAGGGUGCGUAGGUGGCCCUGUAAGUCAGUGGUGAAAUAUCUCAGCUUAACUGAGAGGGUGCCAUUGAUACUGCAGGGCUUGAGUACAGAUGAGGUAGGCGGAAUUGACGGUGUAGCGGUGAAAUGCAUAGAUAUGUCACAGAACACCAAUUGCGAAGGCAGCUUACUAUGGUAUUAUUGACGCUGAGGCACGAAAGCGUGGGGAUCAAACAGG
rnacentral:rRNA from 1 species